rnacentral:rRNA from 1 species
AGAGUUUGAUCAUGGCUCAGAUUGAACGCUAGCGGCAUGCUUUACACAUGCAAGUCGAACGGUAACAGGUCUUCGGAUGCUGACGAGUGGCGAACGGGUGAGUAAUACAUCGGAACGUGCCUAGUAGUGGGGGAUAACUACUCGAAAGAGUAGCUAAUACCGCAUGAGAUCUACGGAUGAAAGCAGGGGACCUUCGGGCCUUGUGCUACUAGAGCGGCUGAUGGCAGAUUAGGUAGUUGGUGGGGUAAAGGCUUACCAAGCCUGCGAUCUGUAGCUGGUCUGAGAGGACGACCAGCCACACUGGGACUGAGACACGGCCCAGACUCCUACGGGAGGCAGCAGUGGGGAAUUUUGGACAAUGGGCGAAAGCCUGAUCCAGCAAUGCCGCGUGCAGGAUGAAGGCCCUCGGGUUGUAAACUGCUUUUGUACGGAACGAAAAGCCUGGGGCUAAUAUCCCCGGGUCAUGACGGUACCGUAAGAAUAAGCACCGGCUAACUACGUGCCAGCAGCCGCGGUAAUACGUAGGGUGCAAGCGUUAAUCGGAAUUACUGAGCGUAAAGCGUGCGCAGGCGGUUUUGUAAGACAGUGGUGAAAUCCCCGGGCUCAACCUGGGAACUGCCAUUGUGACUGCAAGGCUAGAGUGCGGCAGAGGGGGAUGGAAUUCCGCGUGUAGCAGUGAAAUGCGUAGAUAUGCGGAGGAACACCGAUGGCGAAGGCAAUCCCCUGGGCCUGCACUGACGCUCAUGCACGAAAGCGUGGGGAGCAAACAGGAUUAGAUACCCUGGUAGUCCACGCCCUAAACGAUGUCAACUGGUUGUUGGGUCUUAACUGACUCAGUAACGAAGCUAACGCGUGAAGUUGA